CAAUAGCGUAUAUUAAAGUUGUUGCAGUUAAAAAGCUCGUAGUUGGAUUUGUGGCGUACGGUGUGUUCCGGGCACUUGUUGUCUGAGUAACCUGCUGUUGCCAUCCUUGGGUGGAACCUGUGUGGCAUUAGGUUGUCGUGCAGGGGAUGCCCAUCAUUUACUGUGAAAAAAUUAGAGUGUUCAAAGCAGGCUUAUGCCGUUGAAUAUAUUAGCAUGGAAUAAUGAGAUAGGACUUUUUUGCUAUUUUGUUGGUUUGCGCAAAGAGGUAAUGAUUAAUAGGGGCAGUUGGGGGUAUUCGUAUUCCAUUGUCAGAGGUGAAAUUCUUGGAUUUUUGGAAGACGAACUACUGCGAAAGCAUUUACCAAGGAUGUUUUCAUUAA
rnacentral:rRNA from 1 species